UACCAGCACCCCGAGUGGUCGGGACGUUUAUUGGGCCUAAAGCAUCCGUAGCCGGUUCUACAAGUCUUCCGUUAAAUCCACCUGCUUAACAGAUGGGCUGCGGAAGAUACUAUAGAGCUAGGAGGCGGGAGAGGCAAGCGGUACUCGAUGGGUAGGGGUAAAAUCCGUUGAUCCAUUGAAGACCACCAGUGGCGAAGGCGGCUUGCCAGAACGCGCUCGACGGUGAGGGAUGAAAGCUGGGGGAGCAA
rnacentral:rRNA from 1 species